UGGGGAAUCUUGCGCAAUGGGCGAAAGCCUGACGCAGCGACGCCGCGUGGGGGAUGACGGCCUUCGGGUUGUAAACUCCUUUUACCACUCACGCAGGCUCCCAGUUCUCUGGGGGUUGACGGUAAGUGGGGAAUAAGGACCGGCUAACUACGUGCCAGCAGCCGCGGUAAUACGUAGGGUCCGAGCGUUGUCCGGAAUUAUUGGGCGUAAAGAGCUCGUAGGCGGCAUGUCACGUCUGCUGUGAAAGACCGGGGCUUAACUUCGGUUUUGCAGUGGAUACGGGCAUGCUAGAGGUAGGUAGGGGAGACUGGAAUUCCUGGUGUAGCGGUGGAAUGCGCAGAUAUCAGGAGGAACACCGGUGGCGAAGGCGGGUCUCUGGGCCUUACCUGACGCUGAGGAGCGAAAGCAUGGGUAGCGAACAGGAUUAGAUACCCUGGUAGUCCAUGCCGUAAACGAUGGGCGCUAGGUGUGGGGACUUUCCACGGUUUCCGCGCCGUAGCUAACGCAU
rnacentral:rRNA from 1 species